ACUCCUACGGGAGGCAGCAGUGGGGAAUAUUGGACAAUGGGCGAAAGCCUGAUCCAGCAAUACCGCGUGUGUGAAGAAGGCCUUAGGGUUGUAAAGCACUUUCAAUUGGGAGGAAAACCUACCGGUCAAUACCCGGUAGCUUGACAUUACCUUUAGAAGAAGCACCGGCUAACUCCGUGCCAGCAGCCGCGGUAAUACGGAGGGUGCGAGCGUUAAUCGGAAUUACUGGGCGUAAAGCGUGCGUAGGCGGUUCGUUAAGUCAGAUGUGAAAGCCCUGGGCUCAACCUGGGAACGGCAUUUGAAACUGGCGGACUAGAGUUUAGUAGAGGGGAGUGGAAUUUCAGGUGUAGCGGUGAAAUGCGUAGAUAUCUGAAGGAACACCAGUGGCGAAGGCGACUCCCUGGACUAGAACUGACGCUGAGGUACGAAAGCGUGGGUAGCAAACAGGAUUAGAUACCCUGGUAGUCCACGCCGUAAACGAUGUCAACUAGCCGUUGGUCCUAUUUACAGGAUUAGUGGCGCAGCUAACGCAUUAAGUUGACCGCCUGGGGAGUACGGCCGCAAGGUUAAAACUCAAAGGAAUUGACGGGG
rnacentral:rRNA from 1 species